AACACGAGUGUGUAUGUGCUGAGGGAGUAAAGCAUCGUGGGGAGCAGUACUUGUUUCUUUGACUCCAGUGUUUACAGAAAAAGCUUGAUUACAGCGCUCAAUGCAGGCUCCAUAUUUGCUUCCUGUGUUGAUCCCCUUUGCUGUAACAGCUCCUUUUCUAUCUGAUGCUGUGACCAGGGCGUGGGGGCCUGGAUAUUCCAAUUCUGGUCCGCUUCGACCCAAACACCAUUCAACAACGGUUCGUAUAAGGAGCCACUGUAUCCUGCUCAAACAAACAGCGCUGACGAGGCGGUGUUUGUCCUUUAGGAGAAUAAGACCACUGUGACCAUGUUGGCGUCAGCUGAAAUGGACAGGGCUUUCCUUCAUUGUGCAAGUAUAAAUAGGGAAAUUAAAUGUCCAGACCCUCCCUUCUCUGAUGAUCUGAGUCAGUCUUCCAAACCCUGCAGGCCACGACUCCUCUGAGAGCAGCGCGGUCCAGAGGACAGGAAACAGCUUGAGAGAAGUCUAGCACUCGAGGCUGUGGGAGGGGGAAAACGGGGAUUUCCUCAAAUGAUCGCCCAGACUUUUAUCAGAAGUGUGCCGUGUUUCAUUUGGUACAACAUAUGAAGGUGAUCACUGCUGUGGGAUCGACAUGACUGAAUUAAUCCCAUUUGUUGGGAAUCCCUGGAUUCAAGGUGGUUUGACAGAAUCACACGCAACUUCAACCAAGAGAAGGACUCAGAACUCGGACUAGAUCAGACAAGACCAAAUGCCCAUUUGUUCACAUUAUGAGUUUGUUUAAAAGUUAUUUGUAACACAGUAGACGCCUUUCAUAUACUGUAUUUGGCCCAGGCUCAAUUAGUGGACAAUGCUUCAUUCAAUAUUGCCCUGUGAUCGACUCAUUAUAGAACCUGCUACCCCAUGAUCCCGAACAAGAUAAACAGUGUAGGUAAUGAAGAGAUGCCUCUUCAUGACAUUCUUUGUUCCCCUUAUAGUGGCCCCGGGUGUUUAGUUACUCAACUGCAGAGACUACCAGACCUUUAU